GCAUAUCAAUAAGCGGAGGAAAAGAAACCAACAGGGAUUGCCCUAGUAACGGCGAGUGAAGCGGCAACAGCUCAAAUUUGAAAUCUGGCCCCCGGGUCCGAGUUGUAAUUUGUAGAGGAUGCUUUUGGUGCGGUGCCUUCCGAGUUCCCUGGAACGGGACGCCAUAGAGGGUGAGAGCCCCGUCUGGUUGGACACCAAGCCUCUGUAAAGCUCCUUCGACGAGUCGAGUAGUUUGGGAAUGCUGCUCUAAAUGGGAGGUAUAUGUCUUCUAAAGCUAAAUACCGGCCAGAGACCGAUAGCGCACAAGUAGAGUGAUCGAAAGAUGAAAAGCACUUUGAAAAGAGGGUUAAACAGUACGUGAAAUUGUUGAAAGGGAAGCGCUUGUGACCAGACGUGGGCCCGGUCAAUCAUCCAGCGUUCUCGCUGGUGCACUUGGCCGGGCUCAGGCCAGCAUCAGUUCGGCGCGGGGGAUAAAGGCGUCGGGCAUGUGGCUCCCCCGGGAGUGUUAUAGCCCGUCGCGCAAUACCCUGCGCCGGACUGAGGUUCGCGCAUCUGCAAGGAUGCUGGCGUAAUGGUCAUCAGCGACCCGUCUUGAAACACGGACC
rnacentral:rRNA from 1 species